GGCUUGGCGACUGUAGCAUAACA
rnacentral:miRNA from 10 species